rnacentral:lncRNA from 1 species
AAUUUUAAUUUUUUUUUUUUUUUUUUUUGCUGUUAUUAUUUUUUUAAUUAUUAAAAAAAAAAAAAAAAAAAAUUUAUAACAGCUUCUCAAGUAACCACUUCUUCCGUUACCCACCAACCACUUUCUACCUAACUUAAUAUGUUUAUAUUUCAUUAAACAAAUUUUUUUAGUCAAUAAUAUGAAUAGGGAAAAUCAUUUUCGAUAAUAUUUUUAUCGUAAGUAUUUUGGUAGUUUGUUUCUGUUAUAUACACUUUUUUUUUUAUUUUUCUAAUUUGUCUAUGUCAACAACUUAUAAAAAUUCAAAAAAUUUUAUAUAUAUAUAUAUAAAUAUAUAACAUAGAAAUCAUAAACACGUACAUGCAUACGUACUUACAAACAUUUACCAAUAGGUAAGUCUGCACCUACCGCUUGUUUUUUUUUUUUUUGUUAUUAUUAACGUUGAAUAUAUUUUUUUUCAUAAAAUAACACCAUCGUUUUAUUCUAUUAAAAAAAAAAAAAAAAAAAAAAAAAUGAAAUUUGCUGAGAAAUUAAAACACCUAAAAAUUAAAUCAUGGGAUAAUAAAUAUAUAAAUUAUAAAUUUUUAAAAAAAAUAAUUAAACACAAAUAUAAUGAUGAAAUUGGUAGCUUAUAUGAAAAAAUUGAUAAAAACGAUGCAGAAAUUUUAGAAGUUUGUCAUUUGGUUACUCACAAUAGUGUAGUUACCAAUGCACAUCCAAGAGAAAAGAAAAAAAUAAAUGAAACAGAUGCUGAAGAUAUAAAUUAUACAUAUUUAUUUUUUUAUGUUUUACGGAAUCACAUUAAUAUUGUUAAGCAACAUUACGAACAAGAAUAUAACAAUUUGAAUGAAAAAAUAAACGAAAUAAAAUGUUUUUUGGCGAAUAAUAAUAAAAUAAAUCUGAAAUCUAUUGAUGAAUUAAAAACCAAAUGUUUAAAUGUGUACAACUUAUUUGAUGUAUUAAAUAAUUACUUAAAUAUUAAUGUUUUAUCAGUUUAUAAAAUUUUAAAAAAAAAAAAUAAAAAAGCUAAUUUAUCAACUUCUUUAGAUUUAUAUCAAAAAUAUUGUAACGACUUGCAUCGAAUAAGUCGUGAAGAACGUUUUAAUGAAAAAAUCAAAGCCACAUACUUAUCUAUACAAAAAAAAAAAGAAGAUAAUAAAGAAAAAAUAGAUUUUAUAAAUUUUAAAUCUUAUAUAAAAAACAAAAUAGAAAGUUUGGAACAGUAUAAAAAACCUUUGUAUUUUUUUUUUGGAGUUUUAAUAGUGCUAGUUAUAAACACGCUAAUCUUAUUAUAUAUUAAUAUAAAUAAAAUAAAUAUUAACGUUAUUAUGUCAAUACUACCAAUAUAUAGAUUAAUAUAUAUAUUAAAUUUUUUAUUUUUAUUUCUUUUUGGUUCUUUUCUUUUUAUGCAACUUUAUGGUGUGAAUUUUACGUAAGUCACACUACUAAAAAAAAAAAAAAAAAAAAAAAGAAUGAGGAAAUGCAUAUACUGGUGGUUCUCUGCGUUUUCGUGUAUAUUUUUGCAUAAACGUUUGUGCAUAUACGUUUGUUUUACUUAUCUGUUAACUAUUUCUUUUUUUUAUUAUUAUUAUUAUUAUUAUUAUUUUUUUUUUUUUACUUUUUUUUUUUUACUUUUUUUUUUUUUUAUUUUAUUUUUUUUCGUAUAGCAUUAUUUAUGUGGUUUUAUUAUGUGUCAUUUUGUUUUGUACAUUUAUUGUCCCAAUAAAUUUUUAUAAGUAUAAUGAAAAAAAUCA